CAAUAGCGUAUAUUAAAGUUGUUGCAGUUAAAAAGCUCGUAGUUGGAUUUGUGGCGUACGGUGUGUUCCGGGCACUUGUUGUCUGAGUAACCUGCUGUUGCCAUCCUUGGGUGGAACCUGUGUGGCAUUAGGUUGUCGUGCAGGGGAUGCCCAUCAUUUACUGUGAAAAAAUUAGAGUGUUCAAAGCAGGCUUAUGCCGUUGAAUAUAUCAGCAUGGAAUAAUGAGAUAGGACUUUUUUGCUAUUUUGUUGGUUUGCGCAAGAAGGUAAUGAUUAAUAGGGACAGUUGGGGGUAUUCGUAUUCCAUUGUCAGAGGUGAAAUUCUUGGAUUUUUGGAAGACGAACUACUGCGAAAGCAUUUACCAAGGAUGUUUUCAUUAA
rnacentral:rRNA from 1 species